AUUUAACCUGUUUACCAGACCCAAUUCGAUCUAAUCUGUUUAACCUGUUUAAGAAAUUUGAUUAUUUUUGGCCCAAUACUAUUUUAAUUUUAAUCUAUUUAGUUUAAACUUAAUAACAAACUUAAAUAUAAACAUCAAAUCAAAGUAUCAAACAUAAAAAAUAAAUAAACAUAAACUGAAAAUGAUCAAGUCAUGAUCAGCUUGCACUUUGGGCAAUAUAUAACAUUCCACUAUAAUACAUCAG
rnacentral:lncRNA from 1 species